rnacentral:misc_RNA from 1 species
AACGCACAUUGCGCCCCCUGGUAUUCCGGAGGGCAUGCCCGUUUCAGAAUCAUUAAGUAUCUCACACUAGCCUUGCUUUGGGUGCAAACCUCAGGCUGGCGAUGUGUGGAAUCUGGACGCCUUUGUCCCUCUCUUGGUGCAAUCGUCUUAAAAUGAUUGUUCGUGCUGCCGGUUCAGUCGGUCUGCCCUCGAAGUGAAACAAAUUGAAUCGCUUAGAGGCUGGCUGAAGGGAUGGCGAGCUGCGUACUCCAACCAACCACACGGACUGGGCCUCCUCUUGAGGAGGUUCUUCCGAUAACUUGGUCUGAAAUCGGGCAAGAAAACCCGCUGAACUUAA